rnacentral:rRNA from 1 species
CAGUAGCCACGGUAAUACGUAGGUGGCAAGCGUUGUCCGGAUUUAUUGGGCGUAAAGCGAGCGCAGGCGGUUCCUUAAGUCUGAUGUGAAAGCCCCCGGCUCAACCGGGGAGGGUCAUUGGAAACUGGGGAACUUGAGUGCAGAAGAGGAGAGUGGAAUUCCAUGUGUAGCGGUGAAAUGCGUAGAUAUAUGGAGGAACACCAGUGGCGAAGGCGACUCUCUGGUCUGUAACUGACGCUGAGGCUCGAAAGCGUGGGUAGCAAACAGGAUUAGAUACCCCUGUAGUCCCUGUCUCUUAUAC